AGAGUAACAAAGAAUUAUAGUGUCUGAUAAAUGAUGGCAGAGUCAAAACCUAGCCAUCAUCAUUUCGUUAAUCUCAGCCAUAUUGUAUGAGCACAUUAAAAAUUGAUUUGAUGAGUUUUUAUUUUCCUUUAAAAUCCCCCAAAGGUAUAGGGGAGAAAAGAAGAUGGUGUGGAACCUGGUGACAGCAAAGCACCAGAUUAAAUUAUUAGAACAGGUUUAAAUAACAGCAUUUGGUUGGUCAAACUGGAGUGAGCAAAUGAAACUGCUUUGGUAAAGAAUUCUCUCUCUCUCGGAUCCACCUUUCUGAUUUGCGAUGUGGUCAGGGUAUCUGGACACCGUCAGGGCAUUGUAACCUACAUCCC
rnacentral:lncRNA from 1 species